rnacentral:rRNA from 1 species
UACAGAGGUGGCAAGCGUUGUUCGGAAUUACUGGGCGUAAAGGGCGCGUAGGCGGCCUUCUAAGUCAGACGUGAAAUCCCCCGGCUUAACCUGGGAACUGCGUCUGAUACUGGGAGGCUAGAGUAUGGGAGAGGGAUGUAGAAUUCCAGGUGUAGCGGUGAAAUGCGUAGAUAUCUGGAGGAAUACCGGUGGCGAAGGCGGCAUCCUGGACCAUUACUGACGCUGAGGUGCGAAAGCGUGGGGAGCAAACAGG